rnacentral:precursor_RNA from 12 species
UGAACCUGGGGAAACUGGUCUAACCCAAUCACAUCCAAACUAGACGCACUCUCUGGUCCUAGACAGGCGUCUUCUUUGGGUGUGAUUGUGUGGGACAGAUGGCAUCAUUCAUGGA